GAUGAACGCUGGCGGCGUGCCUAAUACAUGCAAGUCGAGCGAACGGACGAGAAGCUUGCUUUUCUGAUGUUAGCGGCGGACGGGUGAGUAACACGUGGAUAACCUACCUAUAAGACUGGGAUAACUUCGGGAAACCGGAGCUAAUACCGGAUAAUAUUUUGAACCGCAUGGUUCAAAAGUGAAAGACGUUCUUGCUGUCACUUAUAGAUGGAUCCGCGCUGCAUUAGCUAGUUGGUAAGGUAACGGCUUACCAAGGCAACGAUGCAUAGCCGACCUGAGAGGGUGAUCGGCCACACUGGAAGUGAGACACGGUACAGACUCCUACGGGAGGCAGCAGUAGGGAAUCUUCCGCAAUGGGCGAAAGCAUGACGGAGCAACGCCGCGUGAGUGAUGAAGGUCUUCGGAUCGUAAAACUCUGUUAUUAGGGAAGAACAUAUGUGUAAGUAACUGUGCACAUCUUGACGGUACCUAAUCAGAAAGCCACGGCUAACUACGUG
rnacentral:rRNA from 1 species